rnacentral:snRNA from 1 species
AUCCUUUUAAGUCUUUUGGCUAAAAUAAAGUGUAAUAUUUCUUCUUAUGAGUUUAAUAUCUGAUAUGUGAACCAUAUGUUCGUUUUGAUAUUAAAUUUAUUCGUAUAGGUAUCAAAU